rnacentral:antisense_RNA from 1 species
UUGGUGGUGCUUGUCAAAGGCUUCGUAGCAGCGGCCCUCGCAAGAGGAAAGGGGUUGCAAAUCAGAAACUUGAAGAUGAAAUGGCUAGUACGCUGGGUAUUGCCUUUAUCUUGAAUGCCAGCCUGAUGGUCCAAGGUGAACAAGCCUUCCUGUGUUUUCUGAAUGUUCCCCCGCACUUUGCCUGCCACCAUGUAAGAUGUGUCUUUGCGCCUCCUUUGCCUUCCGCCAUGAUUGUGCGGCCUCCCCAGCCAUGUGGAACUGAAGUUGCGCCACGUGGUCCCUUCACUAGAGGAAGAGUGGUAUGAAUCAUGUCCGUCACUGUGACACCGUGCAGUCUUCCUGGCGGUACACAAGUUGUGAGAGUUUGCUACCAUUUUUACAUUUUUGUGAUUUAAAGUGUUGAAUAACAAUUAAUGAUGUCAUACAUACUAAA